AACGAACGCUGGCGGCAUGCCUAACACAUGCAAGUCGAACGAGACCUUCGGGUCUAGUGGCGCACGGGUGCGUAACGCGUGGGAAUCUGCCCUUGGGUUCGGAAUAACAGUUGGAAACGACUGCUAAUACCGGAUGAUGACGUAAGUCCAAAGAUUUAUCGCCCAGGGAUGAGCCCGCGUAGGAUUAGCUAGUUGGUGGGGUAAAGGCCUACCAAGGCGACGAUCCUUAGCUGGUCUGAGAGGAUGAUCAGCCACACUGGGACUGAGACACGGCCCAGACUCCUACGGGAGGCAGCAGUUGGGAAUAUUGGACAAUGGGCGAAAGCCUGAUCCAGCCAGGCCGCGUGAGUGAUGAAGGCCUUAGGGUUGUAAAGCUCUUUUAUCCGGGAUGAUAAUGACAGUACCGGGAGAAUAAGCCCCGGCUAACUCCGUG
rnacentral:rRNA from 1 species